rnacentral:miRNA from 1 species
GCAGACACAUUCCAGCCAAUCAGCAGCAGACCUCCUCCCUCCCAGACCCUGCCACCUCCUGGACAGCAUCCAUUUUACAUUCAUUGUGAAGCUGCAUUCUUAGUGAGCUGUCCAGGAGGUGGGAGGGUCUGGGAGGGAGGGUCUGCUGCUGAUUGGCUGGAAUGUGUCU